rnacentral:rRNA from 1 species
UACGUAGGAGGCAAGCGUUGUCCGGAAUUACUGGGCGUAAAGCGCGUGUAGGUGGUGGGACAAGUCUGCUGUGAAAGCGCCUGGCUUAACCGGGCGAGGUCGGCGGAAACUGUUCGACUCGAGGACGGUAGAGGGGGGUGGAAUUCCCGGUGUAGUGGUGAAAUGCGUAGAGAUCGGGAGGAACACCUGUGGCGAAGGCGGCCCCCUGGGCCGGCCCUGACGCUGAGACGCGAAAGCGUGGGGAGCGAACAGG